rnacentral:piRNA from 1 species
UUGACAAAUGUUAAAUAAAUG